AAUGGAAGAUAAAGGUGGUGCUCUCCUUGCUGGUUCCCCACAGUGUGAUUGUGCAAACGUUCGUGAGACUGGGGGAGUCUCCACUGCAUGUGUGUAUUUACUGGGAGACCUUUCCCACUGGACAUCACUGAAAAAAUGCAGUCAAUUAGGAAUGAUACAUGCAUGAACCUUUUCUCUGAAGGUGCUAGAAUGAGGACUGCUCCCUUCAAGGACUUUAGUUUUCAGUUUUCAUUGGAAAUGCUGUGUUCAAAUGUUUAUCUCAUGUCUACUUUGACCAGCUUUGGCAGAUCUCAGAGAUACUACAGAUAGAGACAGGUGGUUUCUCCCCUCCCUAAGCCGAUACAGUGUAAGCUUAUUAGAGACUGUUUUUGUGACUACGAUCAUCAUAGCCAUUCCAAACUCUUUCUGUUCCUAAAGCAAGAGUGUACAAAGGAGGUACUUUUAAGAUAAAAUAAAACUAUGUAUAUUAGUCUCCCUUAUUAUACUGUAAGAUUAUGGGUAGCCAAGCCUUCAUUUUUGGGGAGAACAUUUUGCUUUUCUGCCUCUUGCCUAUAUACUUCUGGGUGUUAGCCCUCUCUAGAGUGUACAGGUGGGUAGUGUUACGCGCUGGUGUGGUACGGUGUCCCUGACUCGCUGGGACCCUGUUAAGGGUUGUCUUUCUGCAAAGCAUUGGAUCCUCAGGUGGCCUGGGCCAGAGAAAGGAGGGGCUCCUGGGAUGCUGAAGGCCUGCUUCUUCUCUUCACUGUUCCACUGUGGAGAGCGCCGGGUUUGUCACUGGUGGUACAGCCUGAUUCCUGUGAUCUACCGAGGACAGGAUGCUGUUACCUGUCCCUAUUCACUGGCGCGACAGUUUGUUCAUGCUUCGUCCAUUUGCCUUGGCGUUACGGGGGCAGAAGAGUUUUGUCAGGCCAAGGUUUUACUAAAUAAGAGGGACUGCAUUUGAAGGCCUUUCUAUAUUCGCAAGUGGGAUAAAUGGUAUCUGAGGGUUCACUGCACAGGUGUGUAAAGAACCAUUUUUGGUGGGCUAGCUCCCAGUGGGGCUUUGCCUUCCCCUCGAGGUCCAGGAAGUGACUCUAGAACCUCAAGCUAAGGGCAAAGCUAUAGUAAUUUUUUUCUUAUGUUUUGUCAGAUAAUAUGAACUAGCCAAUUAACAUCAUGUCAGUGUCUCUAUUUUCAGAUGAGACAAAGCAUGAACACUGUAGGAUCAUGGCUGUUCAUUUUAGACUUUAUGAAAGAAAAGCAUAUGUUUUCGAAGGAUUCCUGGGGGUGUGUAUACAAAUAUAUCAGACUUGUUGAAAGCAGGGCUCGAGACAAGUGGCCUAUAAAGAUAGAAGUCCACAUCGUGUCUGGUCAGAAGUGGGUGGACAAACAUGGGAGGUUUUAUCUUACUAGACUGUCCAGGCGUAAACCCCUCCGACGUGGGAUUAAUUCCCUCUCUACUUACCCAGAGUGGCUGUAUUCCCAACACUCGAAGAAAGUUGUCUUUAAUUCACUGACACAUGCUAUGCGAAUGCUGCCUACAAUAUUGAAUUCAUUGUUGUAAGAAAUUCAAUUUGGACUUUUUCAGAGUGGUCGAGUCAUUCCGAAUCAUGCGUCUACAAGCUCGAUUUCUGUUUUGUUAGCAUGACUAUGGAAAUUUUUGCUCAUAUUGUCUCUUGAGUCUUUCUCUUUCAUCCAGGUUCUAGAUAUUUUACUGUGCUGCGUUUUCUGAGCUUGGCUUGUUAUAAAUUAAAUAUGUAUAUAUUUUCUUUUUUCUGCUCAGGGAGUCCUAUUCUCAACUUUUCCAACGGGAAAACAAAUUAAUAGGAGAUGUCAGUUUAUUGACAGAGGCCAAGGGUAACUAAAAAUCAUGCCUAGAAGAAGCACAUCUGGGUAUUUCCCUGUGAAUGGAUUUGUAAUUACACGUGGUGUUUCAUAGACCUGCACAUGGCCAUUGUCAGACACAGACUUUCACCUCUAAGGGUCUUUAAUAGCUCACGUUUCAGUGCUUACUGUGGGUCGGACGCUGUCCAAAGCAUCUUGCAAAUGUUACCUCAUCUAGUUCUCACCAAUACUUGCUGAUGUAGGUACCGGUUAUUACCUUCUUUGUACAGAUGAGAAAAAUGAACCCAUAGAGGUUAAAUAGAGUGUCAGAGCUCAUAUGCUUUUAAGAAGCGCAGCUGGGAUAUUAACGCAGACCAUCAGGCUUUAGAGUCCAUGUGUUUAACCAUUGGGCUGUACUACGUCUCACUGAUGUUCAGAAUCACAGUAAUUGUGGUCCUGGUAUUUAAUUAGAUGAUAAUGACUCUAGGGACAAUGACAUUGGCCAUUUCAGAUAUGUAUUUAGAUGUAAUGAGUGGGAGUUAAGCCUUUUCCAAGAUGCUUUGGGGUGGGGGGAUACCCUCAUCGUUUGGGUGGCAAUAAUUCAUGGUCAUUACAUUCUCAAGAGAUGGAGCCAGGACUAAAGAGGCAUAAGGUGGAAAUGUCUGUACCAUCCCUGGGGACCAGCCCAGACCCUGGGAAUCACAUGCACAUGACAUCCUUGGAAUCUAGCUUGAUGGUCUGGAAAAUCUCAGUGGCUGGUUCCAGGCUGAGCCCCAAAUUGGAGACUGAGUUAUUUUUACCCACUUAGCAGGGGAAGCUCUUAGAUGAUGGAGAAGGGUUUUCAAGGGGUGCAUGAAGGCUGAAAACAGCGACGUGAGAGGGUCAUGGAUGGAAUCUAUACUUCUGCCAGAUUCUUUUUGAGAAUUCCAGGUCAAAAUAAGGGCUAAGAGUAGAGACAAGCACAUUUGUCUAUCCAUCUACAUUAAUGCAUUCCUUCAAAAUGUCUUAAGACAACAGCUAUCAGAGAGAGAGACCCAUAUUUCUAGUACAUGUGGGGGAGUGGGGGUACUCUAUAGCCCAUCCCCAUGUUUUGGUACAAAUACAUUAUUUCAUGAUAGUUAAGAUGAAUUGGAUUUGUUCUCAAAAGAUAAUUCUGCAUUGUGAUGUCUAUACUGUGGAAGCAGUCAUCUACAGGGGGUUUUUGUGUGUUUGUUUUAUUUUUCUGUUGGGUACAUGUAUUUUACAAACCCCAAUACUGUCUAUGAAAAGACCUAAAGUUACAUUAUGGCAUAAGUGAAUUAUUUUUUUUUCAUAUGACAAAAAAGCAUUUACUUGACAGAUGGCAUCAUCAGAAGAUUAUUUUAAAUAGCAAAGGCCUCCUAAUGCUGUAAAAAAGGAUUGCAUUUUUUUUUUAAUUUUCCACUAGUCUUUCAGGCACACACCUAUUGCUUCAAGGGAGGCAAGUCUGUGGGGCAUUGAUGGAUUCCUUAUUUUAUUAAAUUUUUACUUGGACGUUUGAUGUUAAAAAGUAAUCUAAAUCUACCAUAUAUCAAUGGGUAUCUUCAUAAAGCUAUGAUUUUAACAUCUGUGACUUUUUUCCUCAAUUUUUUGAGUGUCAGAAAAUGAAGAAUUUCUUCUUCAGAGUCGACAGGGCCUGCAAUGUGAUACAUAAUUUAAAGCAUCAAUCAACCUCCCCUCCUCCAAUAAGGUUAAAAAUACAGUUCCCCACUUGCUUAGUGAAACCCCAUAUUUAGCAUACAUGGAAUUCUCAGCUUGUAGUGAUCCUGGAAUGUUGAGAAAUGUGAAAUGAUUUCACAGCAAACUUAUAAACCACAGCACCAGUGACAGAAUGGACCCUUCCAACCCCCAUGCCAUGUGUGUGCGUAAACAUAGACAAACACACACACACACACACGCGCGCACACACAAAGAAGCAAAGGUAUUUGGGGAAUAGCGAAGUUUCACCAUGAAGCAUUUUGUGAAAAUCGUUUAGUUAGUAUUUCAUAUGAGAUCUUGAGGAUUGCUUCUGCCCAUGAUGCAUUCUGUGGUCUAAUGACUGUUCAGGUUGAAUGUGCUUUGCUACCAACGACGAUGCCAACGGGAAUUUUGUUUUUAAAUCAGUCUCUUAAAAUAGUGCUGGUCCAUGUCUUCUUGAUGCUUUUGAUACUUAUGUGUUAACUGUGUCUAAAAGAUUUACUUCUUCUUUAAGUUCUCUCAUCAAUUUAUUCACAACUAGAUGCACCUGCAUUUCAUUAAACAUUUGGUGGCUGUUUCCAUAUCCACCAGAAGUCAGUUCUAUGUGCAAAACAGACCUCACUCCCUGUUCAGUAGGUGUUUGCACAGUUGGAGUUCAAGAUUAACAGUAUUUCUCUAAAGCUGAAAAAAAAAUCCAGUUCCAAUAACCAUUUUGUCUGGAGGAGAAGAUAUUUUUUUUUGACAUUUUAAAUGCAUCCAUAUAUACUUGUGUGCAAAAUGUAUAAAUAUAUUGUGUAAAAGGCUUAAAAUAUUUGACAAUUUAUUGUUUUAUUUAACAUUUAUAAGGCGAUUUCCCAAAUCUUCCUUUUCACAGAGGACUACAUAAUAUACCUUCAAAAAUAUGUUAGAGGGUUUUCUUAGCAUUUUUUUUUCAUUAGAACAAUCCAUCAUUGCACAUUGUGAUUAUAAUUUUUACAACAUAAUUGUACCUUCUAUUGACAACUUCUCAGGCAUUAACUAAUUAUGCCAUUUAAUAAAAUUACAGUAAUUGCAUUAAAAGAUUAUCUGUUGAAAAUUUAAAAGGACACUCUUUACUAUUCUAGCAUAUUUUCAUGUUUAUAUUUUCAACUAUAUAAUUGAAUUGCACUUUCAGACAGAAUCAUAGCUAUGCUGACUGAAAUCAGUUGGUAUUUUGGAGUGUCCCAGUUUUGACGAGUAAGCAUUAGAACUUUUUUUUUUUUUUGUAUUAUUCCUAGAAGAGCAUACAUUGCCAGUCUUCACAUGGCCCCAUUAGAUAAGAAGUGAAUGGUUAACUCUCACUUUUGUAUGACAGGUGCCAGGUCUAUAUGGGAAUGUUUUUGUCUCUACCUACUGCCUCCUCUCUGCUUUCUGGUGGGAUACACUGACACAUACUCAUUUUCUGCCUUCUGUGAGUUUUCUGGUUGGGAUUCAUUGUCUUUUGCAGAUUCUCAGUGAAUUCAGUCUAGUUCUCUCUACUGUCCAGAGAAACCCUACUGUUAAUUUGAACUUGGUCCUGAGUGUAGGGUCUUAAAUCUUAGAGAAAGAAGAAAUCUGGAGGUCAUGUCACUCCUUGACCCAGCCAAUGCCCUCUUCAAGCUUGCCCCAUUCAUUCCCUCCCUCGCUUUCUGCAACCAUUGUUUGUCCAGCGUCUCAAGCACAGUUAGGUACUGGGAUACAAAGAUGAAACUGUCACGCUAAGUCUUCACCGGUCUCUUAUCUGCCUCCCCUCUUUCCCCAUCUCUCUUCAUCCUUCUCUCCCUUCCUCCUUUUCAUCCAUCUACCCCUCCUCCCAGCUUCUCCCAGCCCUGCUCCCCAUUUCUCUUGCCACACCCCACCCCCGCUUCUUUCCACUGCCCUCCUCUUAUAGUUGAAACCACAGCAGUGCCAUUUAAUGAUUAACACACACCAUACGAAAAAUUAAAUUUGUCCUUUGGAGAUCAACUUAAUACACAUUAGAAUAUUUUAAAAAUAUGAAAUCGGCUACAAAUGUGGGUAGGAAUUAUUAUCUGAUCUCGCUAUUGGUAGGUGUGGUGUUGUUCUCCUAACUCAGAGAGAAGCUCGCUAAAGCAGGUGCACAUACAUGCAUGUGCAUAGUUGCUGCUUCAUCACAGAGGAUGAUAUGUGAGGACUUGUGGACGACCUGCUCCAGGAUAGGGGGGAGAUGCAAAUCAUUGUAUUAUAUGCCACAUAUUAGUGUUCGAGAGUAGGCUAUUUCUAGGGCUGAUUCAUGUGCAUAGAACCACCAAAUACCAAAGCAUGCAGCUCUGUCUUUAAAGCUCUGAGAAUACUCUUCAUGUUCAACCUAAUAAAUUAAUUCUUCACAUCAAAAAUGGAGGAAUUUUAUUUCUAUGACCUAAUAAUUCAGGUUAAUGUGAAACACUAAAGACUUAUUCAGUGUUACUUAGCCAUAUGUUGGAAGGAUUGUUUUAGGACAGUGUGAGCUACAGAAUGUCAAAGGCCCCGUCUUUUACCUCUGCAUAUGUCCUUAUGGUUUAUGUGUUGGGUACACAGCAGGCUUCUAAUCUGUGCUUCUUGGAAGAGUGCUAGAACCAGUACAAACCAUCUGUUAGCAGAUACUGCUUUCUUUUUAUUCUAACUCCUCCUCUGGCCAUGACAGCCUGUGGCCCCAUCAGAAGGUAAAAUCCAUAGACAGCCUAACAGCUUCAUCAUAAUCUUGUCCAAUGUGCAUUUUUCUAGCUUUCUCUCGAUGUUGCCCAUCCAGAGGGGUGGUGCUCAUCUACAGCGAAAGGGCCAAAAGGCAGCCAGCAGUUGGAGAACCGGGGGAAGAGGAAGGGAGCUGGCAAAUCUCUAACCCAAUCAACAGCCCCUGAAUGAGGGGGAUUUUAUUUUUGAUUCUUACAGAGAUGAGUGCUUUUCUCCCCCCCUUCUCCAUCUGUUUCUAUAUGUGACACCUGGAUGUGCAAACAUUUUAUAUGAUGCAAAAAUAUAAAAAAUCUAGAAAUAAAAGAGAAGGAGAAGGAGAAAAAUCACCGGUGUGUGUGAAAACAGUUAUAACCUGUUCCUGCUUUUUGUCCAGAC